CCUACGGGUGGCAGCAGUGAGGAAUAUUGGUCAAUGGACGAGAGUCUGAACCAGCCAAGUAGCGUGAAGGAUGACUGCCCUAUGGGUUGUAAACUUCUUUUAUAUGGGAAUAAAAUGUUCCACGUGUGGGAUUUUGUAUGUACCAUAUGAAUAAGGAUCGGCUAACUCCGUGCCAGCAGCCGCGGUAAUACGGAGGAUCCGAGCGUUAUCCGGCUUUAUUGGGUUUAAAGGGAGCGUAGGUGGAUUGUUAAGGCAGUUGUGAAAGUUUGCGGCUCAACAGUAAAAUUGCAGUUGAAACUGGCAGUCUUGAGUACAGUAGAGGUGGGCGGAAUUCGGGGUGUAGCGGUGAAAGGCUUAGAUAUCACGAAGAACUCCGAUUGCGAAGGCAGCUCACUGGACUGCAACUGACGCUGAGGCUCGAAAGUGUGGGUAUCAAACAGGAUUAGAUACCCGUGUAGUC
rnacentral:rRNA from 1 species